rnacentral:rRNA from 1 species
UGCGAGCGUGACGGCGCGAGCAGGUGCGAAAGCAGGUCAUAGUGAUCCGGUGGUUCUGAAUGGAAGGGCCAUCGCUCAACGGAUAAAAGGUACUCCGGGGAUAACAGGCUGAUACCGCCCAAGAGUUCAUAUCGACGGCGGUGUUUGGCACCUCGAUGUCGGCUCAUCACAUCCUGGGGCUGAAGUAGGUCCCAAGGGUAUGGCUGUUCGCCAUUUAAAGUGGUACGCGAGCUGGGUUUAGAACGUCGUGAGACAGUUCGGUCCCUAUCUGCCGUGGGCGCUGGAGAACUGAGGGGGGCUGCUCCUAGUACGAGAGGACCGGAGUGGACGCAUCACUGGUGUUCGGGUUGUCAUGCCAAUGGCACUGCCCGGUAGCUAAAUGCGGAAGAGAUAAGUGCUGAAAGCAUCUAAGCACGAAACUUGCCCCGAGAUGAGUUCUCCCUGACUCCUUGAGAGUCCUGAAGGAACGUUGAAGACGACGACGUUGAUAGGCCGGGUGUGUAAGCGCAGCGAUGCGUUGAGCUAACCGGUACUAAUGAACCGUGAGGCUUAACCUUACAACGCCGAAG